ACAGAAUUGGCUGGCCAACAGAAGACAGCGAGUGGUAGUGGAAGGAAAAUAUUCUGCCUGGAAGUCAGUGGGCCAUAUAAACAUAUCUUCAAAUCAACCGAGACCAUUUUCUGCUCAGGGUAUGGCUCUGUGUAUGACAGCAGCAAUGAUGCACCGACAUGGAACAGGGAAUGUGAUGGAGACAUAGUUUGGACAAUGUACAAGGAGACCUCACAUGGUCCAGUUUGGGAGAGAAUGACAUUAUUGUGUGAUUCAACUCAGGGAGGGAGACAAUGUCAUCUGCCUGAGAAGAAACAGCCCAUUGCACUCUCUCUCCUUCAUUAUUCCUCAUCACAGUAACAUGUGCGAGCUAAAACAAAACUCUACUGUCAUCAUUACCAUUCUUAUUUUUAUAGAAUCCCUGCAGUGUGGAAACAAGCCCUUCGGCCCAACAAGUCCAUACUAACCCUCCAAUCAGUAACCUUCCCAUGCCCUUACAGUUAUCACUGACUAGUGCACCUAAAGUAGAAAUCGCUGAACACUAUGGACUAUUUGACCAAUCCACUUGAAUUAUACAGCUUUGGGCUGUGGGAGGAAACGGGAGCACCCAUCAGAAGCUCACACAGACAAGGGGAGAAGAUGCAAACUCCACGCAGAUAGUCGCCUGAGGCUGGAAUUGAACUCAUGCCCCUGAUGCUGUGAUGGAACAGUGCGAACUACUGAGCCACUGUGCUAACCUGGAACCUCCUGUCUGCCUAAUGCAAAGGGAAUUCAGCCAAAUCCGACCCUCCCACGAUAAAAUCCCAUUCUGUGAGUACAAUAUCUUCAGAAGCAGAAUAACAUUUUGGACAAUCUCACAAUUUUUCCUUUUGUCAUUAGUUACACUAAUAUUUUGACAAGGUUGCAGAGAUUUUGUUUAUUUUAAGGGCGGCAUGGUGGCAGUGGUUAGCACUGCUGUCUCACAGCGCCAGAGACCCGGGUUCAAUUCCCGCCUCAGGCGACUGACUGUGUGGAGUUUGCACAUUCUCCCCGUGUCUGCGUGGGAUUCCUCCCACAAUCCAAAAAUGUGCAGGUUAGGUGAAUUGACCAUGCUAAAUUGCCCGUAGUGUAAGGUGCCAGGGUAAGUGCAGAGGAAUGGGUCUGGGUGGGUUGCGCUUUGGUGGGUCGGUGUGGACUUGUUGGGCCAAAGGGCCUGUUUCCACACUGUAAGUAAUCUAAUCUACUUUGUGUGUGUGUGUGUGUCAGUGUAUUUAGAACGGGAAAUAACGGUUCUUUAUUUGCAAUAUCCAAACAGUUUGUCAUUCAUCUUUCCACCUUAGUUGGAGUAACAUUGCUCUGGAUCAUAAACGUGCUAUUUGAGCAGAUUAAAGAAA